AGAGCGAACGCUGGCGGCGUGCUUAACACAUGCAAGUCGAGUGCGCGCCUGUAGCAAUACAGGUGGCGCACGGCGCACGGGUGCGUAACACGUGGGUAAUCUGCCCUUCGAUGGGGAAUAACUCCGGGAAACCGAAGCUAAUUCCGCAUAACGAUUCCUUGGACCUCGGUCUGGGGAUUCAAAGCCGUAAGGCGUCGGAGGAGGAACCCGGCGCACGAUUAGUUAGUUGGCAGGGUAACGGCCUACCAAGACUUUGAUCGUUA
rnacentral:rRNA from 1 species